GUGGGAUGUCUCUCUCUCCCCCACUCUCUGUUUCCCUUUCUUUUUUGUCCCCUCUCUCCAGGGCUCCUGAUUUCUCUUCAGCCUGACGCUCUUUUCAGUUAACUGCAAGGCGGUGCACCCGAGUCCAGUGGCGUCCUACCUGGUGACCUCCUACCUGUGCUGGGACGCCAGCGACUUGAUGCUGCACACCGGAGCCGUGUCCUACCUAAGCCCAGUGGGCAUGUGAAGCAGAGGGCAGCCCUUGAAUGCGCGGCGGCUGAGCUAUCGCGGGUGGGCCGUGCAGCAGGGCGCAGCGAGGCGGACAUCCAAACAGCGGAACUCAGACACAGACUCCGAGCACACCCCGGGCCUUCCCAUUUCAUACACCCUCGAGGAUGAGACCCAAGCACCUCCAAGGAAUAGCACCCGAGCUCUUCAGGACACUGACCGGUGGCCAUGGCCAGAUGCCCGGCCAACCCCUUCAGCGUGGCCACGCCCCGGAUAUUCGACCUCCCCUGAGGCCCCACCCCCUGAUAUCAGGCCACGCCCCCCAAGGGGACCGGUGGCAAACUCCAACCCUCGCUCUAGGGCCCGCCCUUUGCGGCUUUGUCCCUGCCCACUGGGUCCUCACAGUACCUCCACCCCAGAAGUCCAGCAUCCCCUCCCGUUCUGCAGACACUUGUCCAGUGUCCUGCUAAGCUCGGCAGUGUGGCUAGUUUGUGUGGCCCUGCCCCUGGUGCCCAGCCUUCGCAGGCCACACCCUGAAGCCACUCUCCACCCCCUCAGCCAGGGUGGUCUGCAUGGAACUUCUUUUCCCGGAGUUCUAGUCUCAGCUCCGAUGUCCACCCUUGUCCCCAGGUGGACACAGAACCGCCCAGCAUUUGGUGCAACUCCACCCUUCUGCGGAACGGGCCCCUCCCUGGGAAGGCAUGGCUUGCAAUAACAUCCCUCUGUACCUUUUCUGGCUUCCCCGCCACAAUAAAACACGGGCACUUGCUAACCUCUCAGCCUCAGA
rnacentral:lncRNA from 1 species